rnacentral:rRNA from 1 species
GAUGAACGCUGGCGGCGUGCCUAAUACAUGCAAGUCGAGCGAACGGACGAGAAGCUUGCUUCUCUGAUGUUAGCGGCGGACGGGUGAGUAACACGAGGAUAACCUACCUAUAAGACUGGGAUAACUUCGGGAAACCGGAGCUAAUACCGGAUGAUAUUUUGAACCGCAUGGUUCAAAAGUGAAAGACGGUCUUGCUGUCACUUAUAGAUGGAUCCGCGCUGCAUUAGCUAGUUGGUAAGGUAACGGCUUACCAAGGCAACGAUGCAUAGCCGACCUGAGAGGGUGAUCGGCCACACUGGAACUGGAACACGGUCCAGACUCCUACGGGAGGCAGCAGUAGGGAAUCUUCCGCAAUGGGCGAAAGCCUGACGGAGCAACGCCGCGUGAGUGAUGAAGGUCUUCGGAUCGUAAAACUCUGUUAUUAGGGGAGAACAUAUGUGUAAGUAACUGUGCACAUCUUGACGGUACCGAUCAGAAAGCCACGGCUAACUACGUG